rnacentral:lncRNA from 1 species
UGGGAAUGCCUCCUGGACCCAAGGCAAGGAUGAAACAGGAUGGUGCCCGGAGACAGCCCCUUUUCCAUGCCCACUGCAGCAACAAAACUCCUGAAGGUGCUGCCCAGCCCUGCUGCCUGCCUGACCCUUCAGGCAUGCGCCAUGUUGGAGGUGCCACCAAGAGCAGUGAGUCCCUUGCACUGAGUCCCUGGUGGCCACAGGGAUGCUUGGGGAGAGAGGACCAACACCAGUCCAGGCCAGUGCAAGACAUGUGGUGGGAAGCACAUGAACCUCCUUGGGGCAAUCACAUCAGCUCCAGGUCCAGCUCUCUCCUCUGUCACAGCCUGGGGUCUGGGGGACACCACAGUGCUGAUGGAGACACAACAGCAGGCAGGAAUUCGAGGGCAGCCCACAAGCCCUGGGGCUGGUGGGAGCUGGCUCUGGGCUCCCCACACCUCAGCUGCCUGCUUUGGCACUGCGAGAACAAAACAAAGCCCAGCGGGAAGCAUAUUUGCGGGCAGGCAGCAGGGAAACGCUUUGCUGAACCAUUUAAUCAGCCUGUUAUGGCAGCAGAAGGAGGAGGGCAGGCGCAAAAGGCCACCCCAGCCCUGCCAGCAGCUCAGGGAGGGGGUAGUCUCUGGGCUCAGAACGGGCAGGCAGGGCAGGAACACCCCAUCCACAUCUCUGCUCUGUCUGGAAAGCGGAGAAGGGAUGAGCUUACCAUCUCACAGCAGUGAUAAACACUUCUUACUCUGCCCAUCGGUGACUGAGGGGACAUCCCCCCCUGCCCAAAUGAAGCACUGUAAAUCCCCAGAGCCAUAUCACUUUGCACAACGCACACACAUCCCUUGGGAGACUGGGAAAGCUGGAAGCGCAUAGGGACUAAAAGCUUCACCGGCACUUGCACUCAACGAGCAAGAUGAUCUCUGCUGCUGCAGCCUGUGGGCAGGCUCCAGGGUGUUUUGCGCUGGGGUCAACACAACGCUAAAGGACAGCAGCACAAUUAAUGCCAAUCUCCCCAGUUCUGCAGAAAUAGCCCGUGUCAGAAAGCCGGUAUGAC